rnacentral:ncRNA from 2 species
CGGCGGGAGUAACUAUGACU